AGGACGAACGCUGGCGGCGUGCUUAACACAUGCAAGUCGAGCGGAAAGGCCCUUCGGGGUACUCGAGCGGCGAACGGGUGAGUAACACGUGAGUAACCUGCCCUUGGCUCUGGGAUAGCUCCGGGAAACCGGAAUUAAUACCGAAUAUGACUGCGGCUGACAUCAGCCACGGUGGAAAGUUUUUCGGCUAGGGAUGGACUCGCGGCCUAUCAGCUAGUUGGUGAGGUAACGGCCCACCAAGGCGACGACGGGUA
rnacentral:rRNA from 1 species